rnacentral:lncRNA from 1 species
UGUUAGUUGGUAUCAUUAUUUAAUUUCAUCUUCCCAAGAGGCCUGUGAUAUAAGUAUUCUUACACCCUUUUCAGGUGAAGAAACCAAGGUUUCCUUGCACUAAGUAACCUACUCUGAAAUUAUUGCAACAGAAAUUGAACCCAUCACUGACUGAUUUCAAAGCUCUGUCCCUUUUGCUAUGUAUAAUAAAAUUCUGCCUCUUUGGCCCAACUGUACCUAUGUUUCCUCUGCAAAAUGCUAUGGGACAGAUGUUCUGCAAGGACCUUUAUACUCUUGAAUGAUAUAAUUCCAUCCUCUUCAUUCUAAAUGUGGGAAUAUAAAACUUACUCAGCUUUUUAAAGACUUAAUAAGUCUUCCUCCAAUAAAUGUUCACACUAACUUUGACUCGGUAUAAUUGAUACUUUUAUAUGUAAAAGAUAUAAAAAGAGUGAAUAUAGUAUAAUUGGCCGUAGGGAGCAAAGCAUUAUGUACCUGUUUUCUGUAGGCAUCAUAUUUUCAGAAAACUCCUGUUUAAAAUCUAAAUUCUUUUAUUUCUUUAUUUUUUAAAAUUCUGAUUAUACAACAGAACACAAAUGAAAUAAUUCAUAAUCCAUGCUGUGUUGAAAGAAGAAAGGGAUUCAACAAGAACAACUGAGCCCAACAGCAGUCACUGUGGGCAUGUUACACCUGAAGGAGCCAGGAGUACAAAAGGUCAUUAACUUAAUCCCGUUGUACUCUUCCUGGGUUGGCUAAAUAGUCAACACAGCAACAUCUAACACUGAGCUUCCUUCAUUUGUCACAUACAUUUGAAGUUCAAAGAUGUGAGUCUCGCAAUGAUUCGAAAAAUAAUUAUUUGCCUUCUUUGGUGCCAUAAUGCUUUAAUGUUUUUCUCUCUUGAACAGCAAGACCAGUUCUGGAGAGAUUUGGCAGGUCUAUGCUGGAGCUCAACGGUAAUACCUUUCAAGUGGCAAAUUCCGUUUUAUAUUUAUGGAUACAGCUGCCUUAGUCAUAAUUGUGGCCCUAGAAAAAGACAUUUCAAUUGCAUGUGAGUAAAACUUGUGACUCUAAUGCAUUUACAUGAUCAAAGGAAAAAUAGAAGGAUAUGUUAGCUGUCACAGUAUAAAAGACUUGUGCUUUCUUUUUAGUUAUCUGUACAUUUGUUCUAAUUAUUCUUGUUUUUCUUCUCUCCAUUAGAUGAAUGAUUCGUCUUUUUUUAUUUCACUGUUUUUUAUAUUCGUGCUCAAAAAUGAUUUUCAAAAUAAGAUGUUCCAGCAGUGGUUAAAUAAAGCAUCUUAUUUUGCUUGUCCAACACUUUCCACUAUUUUUCUGGGGAACUCACCUUUCUCCCUUCCAAAGAUGUGACUAUAAUGAGAGCUUCCAUGAUGACGAUGAACAUAAUAAAUCAAAAAUGCUACUCACUAUUUAAUUGUGCAUCUCCCAUAUACCUGAUCCUACGCUAAUCGCUUCAUGUACAUUAAUUCAGUUCAUCAAUUCAGUUAAUAUUCACAAGUUGGGAAUUCGUAUUUCUUCCAUGUUACAGAUGAGGAAAGGGAGACCUAGAAAACUCAAGUAGCUUUUCCAAUAUCACACAUCAAGUAAAUGGUGGGGCCUCAACAUGUUCUUAUAUUACCUUCCCUUCCUAGUGACAGUGCUUAUUUU